GUGUGUCCCACGCUGUGGUCAGCUCUGCCCCUCUGGGAGCUUGCUGGGGCAGAACCCAAGGGCCUCAGCCACUGCUGACAAAGGGGAAAUGUCCUUCUUGGGGUCACUGUCAGGACUCCUGACUGCACUGCAGGCGCUGAUGAGGGGGACACCAUUCCUCCCUGGAAGGGUGUGGGGGUCAGUGAUCACCGGGAGCUGCCGGAUGAGACCUGGAGAGGCAGUGACCGGCCUUGGAGAGCCUGGGCAGGAGAAGCCGGCCAUAGCCAGGCUGCCCACCAAGAGCGUCCCAGGGCCUAGGUCCAGGCCAGGGGCAAGUGCACGCAGGAGCAAGGGCCCGAUUGGCCACCGCGAGUCAUGUGACACCCAGUGAGUGGGCGUGAGCACCGCCCUGACUGGCCGCUGCUGGGCCAUGUGACUGCCAGCUGCGAGCCUGAUUGGACGUGGUGAGGUCACGGGGCCUGGCUGAGGGGUCGUGGGCGGGCGCAGCAGCUCCCCGUGCUGGCCGAGGACUGCCAUGUUCCCGCAGCCACCGGCUGGAGUGCAGUGGGGCGAUCUCUCGGCUCACUGCAACAUCUGUCUCCCCGGUUCAAGUGACUCUCCUGCCUCAGCCUCCCGAGUAGCUGGCAUUACAGAUUACCCAGACUGAGGUCUUGUUACAGCUGCACAGACCGGACUAAGACAGGGAGCCAGCAUCCGACCAGCUCACGGUCUACAGAAAGAGCGUAUCUUUUCCCUGACAGUUUCAGCCACGGUCCCAGGGAAGCCCUUCGUUGCCAGGAGGCUCAUAAACGCUGCCUUGUGAGCGUAUCAUUCCUGGAGCACACCUGCCAUGCAGCAUCAUUGCAUCACAACGCCCACCAGGAGCAGAUUGCCAGGCCGCGUUCUCUGGGUGUGAACAACAACAGCAACAAACCUGUGGCUAGUUCUUCAGUCAACAAAUUGGUAUUCGAAAGGCUGUCAUCGCUAGUACGGACGUCAUCGGUGAAUGAGAAGGCAGAGCCCGCAGCCGCACCUAAUAAAAGGCCAGCAGGGAGAUACAA